UAGGGAAUCUUCCGCAAUGGACGCAAGUCUGACGGAGCAACGCCGCGUGAGUGAAGAAGGAUUUCGGUUCGUAAAACUCUGUUGUUAGAGAAGAACAGCGCAUAGAGUAACUGUUAUGCGUGUGACGGUAUCUAACCAGAAAGCCACGGCUAACUACGUGCCAGCAGCCGCGGUAAUACGUAGGUGGCAAGCGUUGUCCGGAUUUAUUGGGCGUAAAGCGAGCGCAGGCGGUCAAUUAAGUCUGAUGUGAAAGCCCCCGGCUCAACCGGGGAGGGUCAUUGGAAACUGGUUGACUUGAGUGCAGAAGAGGAGAGGGGAAUUCCAUGUGUAGCGGUGAAAUGCGCAGAGAUAUGGAGGAACACCAGUGGCGAAGGCGACUUUCUGGUCUGUAACUGACGCUGAUGUGCGAAAGCGUGGGGAUCAAACAGG
rnacentral:rRNA from 1 species